GCAUGAAGGCGCGCGAGGCGGAACAGGCGUUCAACGAGGCCAUGUCUGCGGUGCAGACCGAGAUGCGCCCAAUUGCGGCUGAUGCCAACAACCCGCAGACCAAGAGCAAGUACGCCUCGUACCUCGCCUUGGACCGCGCCAUGCGUCCGAUUUACACCAAGCAUGGCUUUUCGCUGAGCUACAAUACAGCGGACGGCGCACCCGAGGGUCACAUUCGCGUGGUCUGCGACGUUGCCCGUGGCGGCU
rnacentral:misc_RNA from 1 species